rnacentral:rRNA from 1 species
GGUUAAGCGACUAAGCGUACACGGUGGAUGCCCUGGCAGUCAGAGGCGAUGAAGGACGUGCUAAUCUGCGAUAAGCGUCGGUGAGGUGAUAUGAACCGUUAUAACCGGCGAUUUCCGAAUGGGGAAACCCAGUGUGUUUCGACACACUAUCAUUAACUGAAUCCAUAGGUUAAUGAGGCGAACCGGGGGAACUGAAACAUCUAAGUACCCCGAGGAAAAGAAAUCAACCGAGAUUCCCCCAGUAGCGGCGAGCGAACGGGGAGGAGCCCAGAGCCUGAAUCAGUGUGUGUGUUAGUGGAAGCGUCUGGAAAGGCGCGCGAUACAGGGUGACAGCCCCGUACACAAAAAUGCACAUAUUGUGAGCUCGAUGAGUAGGGCGGGACACGUGGUAUCCUGUCUGAAUAUGGGGGGGACCAUCCUCCAAGGCUAAAUACUCCUGACUGACCGAUAGUGAACCAGUACCGUGAGGGAAAGGCGAAAAGAACCCCGGCGAGGGGAGUGAAAAAGAACCUGAAACCGUGUACGUACAAGCAGUGGGAGCCUCUUAAUGGGGUGACUGCGUACCUUUUGUAUAAUGGGUCAGCGACUUAUAUUCUGUAGCAAGGUUAACCGAAUAGGGGAGCCGAAGGGAAACCGAGUCUUAACUGGGCGUUAAGUUGCAGGGUAUAGACCCGAAACCCGGUGAUCUAGCCAUGGGCAGGUUGAAGGUUGGGUAACACUAACUGGAGGACCGAACCGACUAAUGUUGAAAAAUUAGCGGAUGACUUGUGGCUGGGGGUGAAAGGCCAAUCAAACCGGGAGAUAGCUGGUUCUCCCCGAAAGCUAUUUAGGUAGCGCCUCGUGAAUUCAUCUCCGGGGGUAGAGCACUGUUUCGGCAAGGGGGUCAUCCCGACUUACCAACCCGAUGCAAACUGCGAAUACCGGAGAAUGUUAUCACGGGAGACACACGGCGGGUGCUAACGUCCGUCGUGAAGAGGGAAACAACCCAGACCGCCAGCUAAGGUCCCAAAGUCAUGGUUAAGUGGGAAACGAUGUGGGAAGGCCCAGACAGCCAGGAUGUUGGCUUAGAAGCAGCCAUCAUUUAAAGAAAGCGUAAUAGCUCACUGGUCGAGUCGGCCUGCGCGGAAGAUGUAACGGGGCUAAACCAUGCACCGAAGCUGCGGCAGCGACACUAUGUGUUGUUGGGUAGGGGAGCGUUCUGUAAGCCUGUGAAGGUGUACUGUGAGGUAUGCUGGAGGUAUCAGAAGUGCGAAUGCUGACAUAAGUAACGAUAAAGCGGGUGAAAAGCCCGCUCGCCGGAAGACCAAGGGUUCCUGUCCAACGUUAAUCGGGGCAGGGUGAGUCGACCCCUAAGGCGAGGCCGAAAGGCGUAGUCGAUGGGAAACAGGUUAAUAUUCCUGUACUUGGUGUUACUGCGAAGGGGGGACGGAGAAGGCUAUGUUGGCCGGGCGACGGUUGUCCCGGUUUAAGCGUGUAGGCUGGUUUUCCAGGCAAAUCCGGAAAAUCAAGGCUGAGGCGUGAUGACGAGGCACUACGGUGCUGAAGCGACAAAUGCCCUGCUUCCAGGAAAAGCCUCUAAGCAUCAGGUAACAUCAAAUCGUACCCCAAACCGACACAGGUGGUCAGGUAGAGAAUACCAAGGCGCUUGAGAGAACUCGGGUGAAGGAACUAGGCAAAAUGGUGCCGUAACUUCGGGAGAAGGCACGCUGAUAUGUAGGUGAAGCGACUUGCUCGUGGAGCUGAAAUCAGUCGAAGAUACCAGCUGGCUGCAACUGUUUAUUAAAAACACAGCACUGUGCAAACACGAAAGUGGACGUAUACGGUGUGACGCCUGCCCGGUGCCGGAAGGUUAAUUGAUGGGGUUAGCGGUAACGCGAAGCUCUUGAUCGAAGCCCCGGUAAACGGCGGCCGUAACUAUAACGGUCCUAAGGUAGCGAAAUUCCUUGUCGGGUAAGUUCCGACCUGCACGAAUGGCGUAAUGAUGGCCAGGCUGUCUCCACCCGAGACUCAGUGAAAUUGAACUCGCUGUGAAGAUGCAGUGUACCCGCGGCAAGACGGAAAGACCCCGUGAACCUUUACUAUAGCUUGACACUGAACAUUGAGCCUUGAUGUGUAGGAUAGGUGGGAGGCUUUGAAGUGUGGACGCCAGUCUGCAUGGAGCCGACCUUGAAAUACCACCCUUUAAUGUUUGAUGUUCUAACGUGGGCCCCUUACCGGGGUUGCGGACAGUGUCUGGUGGGUAGUUUGACUGGGGCGGUCUCCUCCUAAAGAGUAACGGAGGAGCACGAAGGUUGGCUAAUCCUGGUCGGACAUCAGGAGGUUAGUGCAAUGGCAUAAGCCAGCUUGACUGCGAGCGUGACGGCGCGAGCAGGUGCGAAAGCAGGUCAUAGUGAUCCGGUGGUUCUGAAUGGAAGGGCCAUCGCUCAACGGAUAAAAGGUACUCCGGGGAUAACAGGCUGAUACCGCCCAAGAGUUCAUAUCGACGGCGGUGUUUGGCACCUCGAUGUCGGCUCAUCACAUCCUGGGGCUGAAGUAGGUCCCAAGGGUAUGGCUGUUCGCCAUUUAAAGUGGUACGCGAGCUGGGUUUAGAACGUCGUGAGACAGUUCGGUCCCUAUCUGCCGUGGGCGCUGGAGAACUGAGGGGGGGCUGCUCCUAGUACGAGAGGACCGGAGUGGACGCAUCACUGGUGUUCGGGUUGUCAUGCCAAUGGCACUGCCCGGUAGCUAAAUGCGGAAGAGAUAAGUGCUGAAAGCAUCUAAGCACGAAACUUGCCCCGAGAUGAGUUCUCCCUGACUCCUUGAGAGUCCUGAAGGAACGUUGAAGACGACGACGUUGAUAGGCCGGGUGUGUAAGCGCAGCGAUGCGUUGAGCUAACCGGUACUAAUGAACCGUGAGGCUUAACCUU